AUUGAACGCUGGCGGCAUGCUUUACACAUGCAAGUCGAACGGUAACAGGCCGCAAGGUGCUGACGAGUGGCGAACGGGUGAGUAAUGCAUCGGAACGUGCCCAGUCGUGGGGGAUAACGCAGCGAAAGCUGCGCUAAUACCGCAUACGAUCUAUGGAUGAAAGCGGGGGACCGUAAGGCCUCGCGCGAUUGGAGCGGCCGAUGUCAGAUUAGGUAGUUGGUGGGGUAAAGGCUCACCAAGCCGACGAUCUGUAGCUGGUCUGAGAGGACGACCAGCCACACUGGGACUGAGACACGGCCCAGACUCCUACGGGAGGCAGCAGUGGGGAAUUUUGGACAAUGGGCGCAAGCCUGAUCCAGCAAUGCCGCGUGCAGGAAGAAGGCCUUCGGGUUGUAAACUGCUUUUGUACGGAACGAAACGGCUCUGGUUAAUACCUGGGGCUAAUGACGGUACCGUAAGAAUAAGCACCGGCUAACUACGUGCCAGCCGCCGCGGUAAGAC
rnacentral:rRNA from 1 species